rnacentral:rRNA from 1 species
UACAGAGGUCUCGAGCGUUGUUCGGAUUCAUUGGGCGUAAAGGGCGCGUAGGCGGGCUGUCCAGUCUGGGGUGAAAUCCCGCGGCUCAACCGUGGAACUGCCUUAGAUACUGACGGCCUCGAGGGAGGUAGGGGCGUGCGGAACUGUAGGUGGAGCGGUGAAAUGCGUUGAUAUCUACAGGAACUCCGGUGGCGAAGGCGGCGCGCUGGACCUCUUCUGACGCUGAGGCGCGAAAGCCAGGGGAGCAAACGGG